rnacentral:rRNA from 1 species
UACGUAGGUGGCGAGCGUUGUCCGGAUUUAUUGGGUUUAAAGGGUGCGUAGGCGGCCCUGUAAGUCAGCGGUGAAAUACGGCAGCUCAACUGUCGAGGUGCCGUUGAUACUGCGGGGCUUGAGUGCUGAUGAGGCAGGCGGAAUUGACGGUGUAGCGGUGAAAUGCUUAGAUAUCGUCAAGAACACCGAUAGCGAAGGCAGCCUGCCAAGGAGCAACUGACGCUGAGGUGCGAAAGCGUGGGGAGCAAACAGG